rnacentral:rRNA from 1 species
UGAGGAACAUGACCUUCGGCGGGGGAGUAGCCGGCCCAACGGCCGGGUAAUACCGCGUACGACCACAUGGGGACAUCCCUGAGUGGUGAAAGCAGCAAUGCGCCGAUGGAGUGCCUCGCGGCCUAUCAGCUAGUUGGUGAGGUAACGGCUCACCAAGGCGACGACGGGUAGCUGGUCUGAGAGGAUGGCCAGCCACAUUGGGACUGAGACACGGUCCAGACCUNUACGGGAGG